GACGGGGCCCGCACAAGCGGUGGAGCAUGUGGUUUAAUUCGAAGCAACGCGAAGAACCUUUACCAGGUCUUGACAUCCCGAUGCUAUUUCUAGAGAUAGAAAGUUACUUCGGUACAUCGGUGACAGGUGGUGCAUGGUUGUCGUCAGCUCGUGUCGUGAGAUGUUCGGUUAAGUCCGCUAACGAGCGCAACCCUCGUCGUAUGUUAUAUGUGUCAUACGAGACUGCCGGUAAAAGCCGGAGGAAGGUGAGGAUGAUGUCAAGUCAGCAUGACCUUUAUAUCCAGGGCUACACACACGCUACAAUGGUCUGUACAAUGGGUAGCCAAGCCGCGAGGCGGAGCCAAUCCUGAAAGCAGGCCUCAGUUCAGAUUGCAGUCUGCAACUCGACUGCAUGAAGCCGGAGUUGCUAGUAACCGCAGGUCAGCAAUACUGCGGUGAAUACGUUCCCGGGCCUU
rnacentral:rRNA from 1 species